rnacentral:rRNA from 1 species
UUUUACUAAACGGAUGCCACCAGCAAUCUGCCUGAGUUCCUUAAAUGACUCGGCAGGCGGCUUCCGGGAAACCAAAGUUUUUCGGUUCCGGGGGAAGUAUGGUUGCAAAGCUGAAACUUAAAGGAAUUGACGGAAGGGCACCACCAGGAGUGGAGCCUGCGGCUUAAUUUGACUCAACACGGGGAAACUUACCCGGCCUGGACACUGGAAGGAUUGACAGAUUGAGAGCUCUUUCUUGAUUCAGUGGGUGGUGGUGCAUGGCCGUUCUUAGUUGGUGGAGCGAUUUGUCUGGUUAAUUCCGAUAACGAACGAGACUCUAGCCUAUUAAAUAGGCUCCCGGCUUUUAAACGCCGGGAGGACUUCUUAGAGGGACAGGUGGCGGUUCAGCCGCACGAAGUUGAGCAAUAACAGGUCUGUGAUGCCCUUAGAUGUCCAGGGCUGCACGCGCGCUACACUGGAGGAAUCAGCGUGCUGUAACCAUUGCCGAAAGGCAUUGGUAACCCCUUGAAAAUCCUCCGUGAUCGGGAUCGGGAAUUGCAAUUAUUUCCCUUGAACGAGGAAUUCCUAGUAAGUGUGAGUCAUCAGCUCACGUUGAUUACGUCCCUGCCCUUUGUACACACCGCCCGUCGCUGCCCGGGACUGAGCCGUUUCGAGAAAAGCGGGGACUGCUGUUUCGAUACCUUUCGGGGUGGAGAUUCUUUGGUGGAAACCGCCUUUAUCGCAGUGGCUUGAACCGGGCAAAAGUCGUAACAAGGUUUCUGUAGGUGAACCUGCGGAAGGAUCA